rnacentral:rRNA from 1 species
UCUGGACUAGGACGACGCUGGCGGCGUGCUUAACACAUGCAAGUCGAACGAGAUACCGGAGCUUGCUCCGGUGGACAGUGGCGAACGGGUGAGUAACACGUGAGAAAUCUGUCCUAGAGACCGGGACAACCAUCGGAAACGAUGGCUAAUACCGGAUACCCUCACAUGGUCGCAUGGUCGAGUGAGGAAAUGCUCAGGUGCUCUAGGAGGAUCUCGCGGCCUAUCAGCUAGUUGGUGGGGUAACGGCCUACCAAGGCAUCGACGGGUAGCUGGUCUGAGAGGACGAUCAGCCACACUGGGACUGAGACACGGCCCAGACUCCUACGGGAGGCAGCAGUGGGGAAUAUUGCGCAAUGGGCGAAAGCCUGACGCAGCAACGCCGCGUGAGGGAUGACGGCUUUCGGGUUGUAAACCUCUUUCAGUGAUGACGAAAAUGACGGUAGUCACAGAAGAAGCUCCGGCCAACUACGUGCCAGCAGCCGCGGUAACACGUAGGGAGCGAGCGUUGUCCGGAUUUAUUGGGCGUAAAGAGCUCGUAGGCGGUUUCGUAAGUCGGAUGUGAAAACUCAGGGCUCAACCCUGAGACGCCAUCUGAUACUGCGAUGACUAGAGUCCGGUAGAGGAGCAUGGAAUUCCUGGUGUAGCGGUGGAAUGCGCAGAUAUCAGGAGGAACACCAACGGCGAAGGCAGUGCUCUGGGCCGGUACUGACGCUGAGGAGCGAAAGCAUGGGGAGCAAACAGGAUUAGAUACCCUGGUAGUCCAUGCCGUAAACGUUGGGCACUAGGUGUGGGGUCUUCUAACGGAUUCCGUGCCGUAGCUAACGCAUUAAGUGCCCCGCCUGGGGAGUACGGCCGCAAGGCUAAAACUCAAA